CCUACGGGCGGCUGCAGUGGGGAAUAUUGGACAAUGGGCGAAAGCCUGAUCCAGCCAUGCGGCGUGUGUGAAGAAGGCCUUCGGGUUGUAGAGCACUUUCAGUGGGGAAGAAAGCCUUGGGGCUAAUACCCUCGAGGAAGGACAUCACCCACAGAAGAAGCACCGGCUAACUCCGUGCCAGCAGCCGCGGUAAUACGGAGGGUGCGAGCGUUAAUCGGAAUUACUGGGCGUAAAGCGCGCGUAGGCGGUCUGAUAAGCCGGUUGUGAAAGCCCCGGGCUCAACCUGGGAACGGCAUCCGGAACUGUCAGGCUAGAGUGCAGGAGAGGAAGGUAGAAUUCCCGGUGUAGCGGUGAAAUGCGUAGAGAUCGGGAGGAAUACCAGUGGCGAAGGCGGCCUUCUGGACUGACACUGACGCUGAGGUGCGAAAGCGUGGGUAGCAAACAGGAUUAGAUACCCCUGUAGUC
rnacentral:rRNA from 1 species